CCUACGGGGGGCUGCAGUGGGGAAUAUUGGACAAUGGGGGCAACCCUGAUCCAGCCAUGCCGCGUGUGUGAAGAAGGCCCUCGGGUUGUAAAGCACUUUCAGUGAGGAAGAACGCCUGGUGGUUAAUACCCAUCAGGAAAGACAUCACUCACAGAAGAAGCACCGGCUAACUCCGUGCCAGCAGCCGCGGUAAUACGGAGGGUGCGAGCGUUAAUCGGAAUUACUGGGCGUAAAGCGCGCGUAGGUGGCUUGAUAAGCCGGUUGUGAAAGCCCCGGGCUCAACCUGGGAACGGCAUCCGGAACUGUCAAGCUAGAGUGCAGGAGAGGAAGGUAGAAUUCCCGGGGUAGCGGUGAAAUGCGUAGAGAUCGGGAGGAAUACCAGUGGCGAAGGCGGCCUUCUGGACUGACACUGACACUGAGGUGCGAAAGCGUGGGUAGCAAACAGGAUUAGAUCCCUAGUAGUC
rnacentral:rRNA from 1 species